ncrna:Vibrio alginolyticus 12G01 Moco (molybdenum cofactor) riboswitch
UGGUUGCCAUAACUCCGAGCUCACUAUUGCUAAGUCCUUGGAUAAGCGUUUUGAGCCAGUGGCAUACUGUCACAAGGGCAUGAUUGGAAAUGGCCAUGCCUCCCGUGUUUGGAAAGGUGUUCCGUGGCGCAACAA